AGAUUCUUUUUGUGAGAUGUUUUCAUGGUGUGGGAAUAAGACUUGGUGGUCUGAUACAGCUGAUAUGAAGGUUAGCACCACCGCUUGUCUGUAAGGAUUGAGGCAGGGAAGGGCCAUUGGAGCUAACUUUUAUGGUAACUUUAAUUGAGGACGCAUCAAAUUAUUGUGCAAUUUAACUGAAACUAUAAAGAAUGUUAUUCAGACAAUAAUUGUGUAUGUGUGAAAAAAUGUUAAUGAUUUGAGAAAAAUAAAGAUGUGUAAAGAUUCUCCUUUUUCAACAAGAUUGGGAGUUGUAGGAUAUUAGUUAUCCAGUUAAGAACCUGUUUAUUAUCCCCCCUCUC